rnacentral:rRNA from 1 species
AUACGUAGGGGGCGAGCGUUGUCCGGAAUGAUUGGGCGUAAAGGGCGCGUAGGCGGCCCGGUAAGUCUGGAGUGAAAGUCCUCUUUUUAAGAUGGGAAUUGCUUUGGAUACUGUCGGGCUUGAGUGCAGGAGAGGUAAGUGGAAUUCCCAGUGUAGCGGUGAAAUGCGUAGAGAUUGGGAGGAACACCAGUGGCGAAGGCGACUUACUGGACUGUAACUGACGCUGAGGCGCGAAAGUGUGGGGAGCAAACAGGAUUAGAUACCCUGGUAGUCCACACUGUAAACGAUGAAUGCUAGGUGUAGGGGGUAUCGACCCCUUCUGUGCCGCAGUCAACACAAUAAGCAUUCCGCCUGGGGAGUACGGCCGCAAGGUUGAAACUCAAAGGAAUUGACGGGG